rnacentral:rRNA from 1 species
AGGACGAACGCUGGCGGCGUGCUUAACACAUGCAAGUCGAACGGAAAGGCCCUUCGGGGUACUCGAGUGGCGAACGGGUGAGUAACACGUGGGUGAUCUGCCCUGCACUUUGGGAUAAGCCUGGGAAACUGGGUCUAAUACCGAAUACACCUUGCCGGCUGCAUGGUUGGUGGGGGAAAGCUUUUGCGGUGUGGGAUGAGCCCGCGGCCUAUCAGCUUGUUGGUGGGGUGAUGGCCUACCAAGGCGACGACGGGUAGCCGGCCUGAGAGGGUGUCCGGCCACACUGGGACUGAGAUACGGCCCAGACUCCUACGGGAGGCAGCAGUGGGGAAUAUUGCACAAUGGGCGCAAGCCUGACGACGCAACGCCGCGUGGAGGAUGAAGACCUUCGGGUCGUAAACUCCUUUCGAUCGAGACGAAUGGCCUUCGGGUGAACAAUCCGGAGGAAUGACGGUACCGAGAGAAGAAGCCCGGCUAACUCCGUGCCAGCAGCCGCGGU